AGAGUUUGAUCAUGGCUCAGGACGAACGCUGACGGUGUGCUUUAGGCAUGCAAGUCGAACGAGAAAGCCCUUCGGGGUGAGUAGAGUGGCGAACGGGUGAGUAACACGUGGGCAACCUGCCCCUCGCAGGGGGAUAACCGGAGGAAACUCCGGCUAAUACCCCGUAAGCUUUCAGGGUCGCAUGGCCCUGUAAGGAAAGGUAGCUUCGGCCAUCCGGCGAGGGAUGGGCCCGCGGUACAUUAGCUAGUUGGUGGGGUAACGGCCUACCAAGGCGACGAUGUAUAGCUGGUCUGAGAGGAUGAUCAGCCUCACUGGGACUGAGACACGGCCCAGACUCCUACGGGAGGCAGCAGCCAGGAAUCUUGGGCAAUGGGCGAAAGCCUGACCCAGCAACACCGUGUGGGCGAUGAAGGCCUUCGGGUCGUAAAGCCCUGUUGAUAGGGACGAAGGGCGAAGGGUUAAUAGCCCCUAGCCUGACGGUACCUUUCGAGGAAGCCCCGGCUAACUACGUGCCAGCAGCGGCGGUAAUAC
rnacentral:rRNA from 1 species